UACAGAGGCGGCAAGCGUUGUUCGGAUUUACUGGGCGUAAAGGGUGCGUAGGCGGUUCUGUGUGUCGGAUGUGAAAUCUCACAGCUCAACUGUGGAAUUGCAUUUGAAACUACAGGGCUGGAGUACAGGAGAGGAGAGCGGAAUUCUUGGUGUAGCGGUGAAAUGCGUAGAUAUCAAGAGGAACACCGGUGGCGAAGGCGGCUCUCUGGACUGAUACUGACGCUGAGGCACGAAAGCUGGGGGAGCAAACAGG
rnacentral:rRNA from 1 species